GUCCACCACAACACACCCACUCAGGACCCACCACCCGCCCACCACAACACACCCACCCAGGACCCACCACCCGCCCAGGAGUCACAAGAGGACGCUAGCGGGAAGAGGAUUCAUCCCUAUACCAUCGUCGCCUUUGGUCACGGUGCCCGCAUGUGUCCUGGAAGACGUCUGGCCGAGCUGGAGAUCAAGGUGGCACUCGUACAGCUGGUGAAGAACUUCAAGAUGGAGACGGACAGGUCAUCUGAAGGUCACAUAGGUCAGGUCAUGAGACUAAACAUGAUGCCUGACAAAGACUUGGCUGUCACCUUUACUCCCAGACAAGAGUAAACACGGAAGGAAGGAAGGAAGGAAGGAAGGAAGGAAAUGAAAAUAAGACGAUAAGUAAAGAAGAUACUGAGUGUAUUUAAAAUUAUAAACAUAAAAAAAAAUAAGUUGAAGAAAAGAAAGAUAAAAGAAGAAAUGAAGAAAAUUAUAAGAACAGAAAUAUAGUUCCAUCUCCGAAAUGUAAGGAAAUUGAUAAGACGAAAAAGAGAAGAUGGAAAAUGAAGAAAAAAUGAACGAGUAAAAUUAUAAAUAAAACAUUAUGUAAAUAAAACAAAAAAUAACAGACGAAGAGCAGGACAAUUGUUGAAGUUCUACGUGAAAAGAAGUGAAAAUAAUCCGAAGAAUGAAAUAAAAAAGAACAACAAAACAAUACAUUAAUAAUAAUAUUUUGGUACUAAGAAUAAAGGACUAUAUCAUA